GCCUGGGUGGCUCAGUCGGUUGAGCGUCUGACUUCGGCUCAGGUCAUGAUCUUGCAGUUUGUAAGUUCAAGCCCCACAUCGGGCC
rnacentral:tRNA from 1 species